GAUAGCGAACAAGUAGAGUGAUCGAAAGGUUAAAAGCACCUUGAAAAGGGAGUUAAACAGCACGUGAAAUUGUUGAAAGGGAAGCGCUUGCGGCCAGACUCGGGGGCGGGGUUCAGCGGGUGCUCGUCGCCCGUGCACUCCCCGUCUCCCGGGCCAGCAUCAGUUUCGACGGCCGGUCAAAGGCCUCCGGAAUGUGUCGUCUCUCGGGACGUCUUAUAGCCGGGGGUGCAAUGCGGCCCGUCGGGACUGAGGAACGCGCUUCGGCUCGGAUGCUGGCGUAAUGGCCGUAAGCGGCCCGUCUUGAAACACGGACCAA
rnacentral:rRNA from 1 species